GUAGGUGGCAAGCGUUGUCCGGAAUUAUUGGGCGUAAAGCGCGCGCAGGCGGUUCUUUAAGUCUGAUGUGAAAGCCCACGGCUCAACCGUGGAGGGUCAUUGGAAACUGGAGAACUUGAGUACAGAAGAGGAAAGCGGAAUUCCACGUGUAGCGGUGAAAUGCGUAGAGAUGUGGAGGAACACCAGUGGCGAAGGCGGCUUUCUGGUCUGUAACUGACGCUGAGGCGCGAAAGCGUGGGGAGCAAGCAGGAUUAGAUACCCUGGUAGUCCACGCCGUAAACGAUGAGUGCUAAGUGUUAGGGGGGUUUCCGCCCCCCUUAGUGCUGCAGCUAACGCAUUAAGCACUCCGCCUGGGAGUACGGCCGCAAGGCUG
rnacentral:rRNA from 1 species